CCUACGGGAGGCAGCAGUGAGGAAUAUUGGUCAAUGGGCGAGAGCCUGAACCAGCCAAGUCGCGUGAGGGAAGACGGUCCUAUGGAUUGUAAACCUCUUUUGCCGGGGAGCAAAACGCGGUACGCGUACCGCAUCGAGAGUACCCGGAGAAAAAGCAUCGGCUAACUCCGUGCCAGCAGCCGCGGUAAUACGGAGGAUGCGAGCGUUAUCCGGAUUUAUUGGGUUUAAAGGGUGGGCAGGCGGCGAGUUAAGUCAGCGGUAAAAUUUCGGGGCUCAACCCCGACAAGCCGUUGAAACUGGCGUGCUAGAGUGGGCGAGAAGUAUGCGGAAUGCGUGGUGUAGCGGUGAAAUGCAUAGAUAUCACGCAGAACUCCGAUUGCGAAGGCAGCAUACCGGCGCCCAACUGACGCUCAGGCACGAAAGCGUGGGUAUCGAACAGGAUUAGAUACCCCGGUAGUC
rnacentral:rRNA from 1 species